AAAUUCAGGCUGGGCACGGUGGCUCACACCUGUAAUGCCAGCACUUUGGGAGGCCAAGGCAGAUGACUAAAGAAGUGACAAAAUGAGGCACUGUUGCUCCUCCAGUAACUGGUCUCAAAUCAGCAUUCUGCUGUCAGCAUCUGGGAGUAAAACCAGACAGGUCUCUUCCAGACUGCCAUACCCUUCCUCUGCUCCAACCUAGCUCCCUGCAAAUGCAAGCCACAAAAUUCAAUGCCUAGACCAAUCUUCAUUACAGUGUAAAGAAAGUUUACACUGUAAAGAAGGUUACACGCAUGUCAUAAGGUGAUGCAACAAAGAAAAAAAGCAAUCUCAGUCUGGCACAAGUUCAAAGCACUUGUCAUUAUCCUGUUAGUCAGGAAGCUCUUCCCCUAGAAUACCCUACACUGCUUCUUCCCAUCUCCAGGCAUAAGCUAAAUUCCUCUAUUCCCAUGUCCUAGACUCCUGGAGAAAACAAGAAAACAAAUUUCUUCCUGUCUGAGCUCUGGGUUCUGACUUCAACUUCAAGCUGCCUUAUUAGCGGUCACCUGCCUCUUUAGCUGGGCAGGAAACCUACCCCACUCUGUCCGCGGCACUCCUCUGACUGCCUUUC
rnacentral:lncRNA from 10 species